rnacentral:rRNA from 1 species
CCUACGGGUGGCAGCAGUGGGGAAUAUUGGACAAUGGGCGCAAGCCUGAUCCAGCAAUGCCGCGUGAGUGAUGAAGGCCUUCGGGUUGUAAAGCUCUGUCGGGAGGGACGAACGGGUGCGGGUAACGCCGCACAUUGACGGUACCUCCAAAGGAAGCACCGGCUAACUCUGUGCCAGCAGCCGCGGUAAUACAGAGGGUGCAAGCGUUGUUCGGAAUUACUGGGCGUAAAGCGCGUGUAGGCGGCGUCGUAAGUCGGAUGUGAAAUCCCUCAGCUCAACUGAGGAAGUGCAUCCGAUACUGCGAUGCUUGAGUGUCAGAGGGGAUGGCGGAAUUCCCGGUGUAGAGGUGAAAUUCGUAGAUAUCGGGAGGAACACCUGUGGCGAAGGCGGCCAUCUGGAUGACGACUGACGCUGAGACGCGAAAGCGUGGGUAGCAAACAGGAUUAGAUACCCUUGUAGUC